rnacentral:lncRNA from 1 species
CAGGGAUUGGUUGAUCCCAGGAAGAAGGUGGGGCCUUGACGCGGGAGGGAGGCGGGCCCGGAGUCUCCAGAGGCUCCGUCUAUUGGUCCCGCCCCCUUACUGGAAUUCCGGCCCGCGCAGGUAAGGCCGAACCUUUAGUGAAGCCGUCGUACGUCUAGUAGUUCUCCCAGCAACCGGUGACGCACCGGCGUGAGGCAGGCCACUGGCCAACACGGGAGAGCGGGGCUGGAGCGUGACCCUCAAUCCCGAGGCACCUCCCAGUUCCCCCCACUAGGCCGCCUCGCGCUCCUUCCCUCCCUUCCCCGCCACAGUCCCGCAAUCCGGGAGGCGGGGGUCAGCGACCCAGCUGAGUGGGAGCCGCGCGGUGUCCGAGGAGCCAGUCGGCGACCGCUUCGGGCGGCCAGCGUCUGCCGCCGUGAAGAACGCCGCCCUGGCAACUAGUGACGCAGAGGCCCAGCGGAGCAAGGGAUUGGCCGGCCCGCGUCCGCUGCUGCCGCGCGGCCUGCUCCUCCCAGGCCUUGCCCUCCGUCUGUCCUCACCAGUUUUCCCGCUGUGACCUUCGUUGCUGGCGGCCCCACGACGCAAAUAUCGCCAGGCUGAGUCCGAAAAAAAAGGGCAGCGGCAGCCUCCGGGUCCCGACCAUAUUAAACGCCCCCUACUCUACACUACGUUUUUGGUACCCUGUCUUGCCCUUCGGGUGGGCUGGCGCCUAGAGCAAAGAGUUGAGAUAGGCCCAGGGAUGGGAAAUUUCGUCCUAGGAGAAUCUGACCAGCAACUCGUGACGAAAACUAACUGACGCGCCCGGGAUUGGCUGCGCUGCGGAGGGGGGCCAGGGAAGGCGAUCUGCUCAGAUUUUCUUCCAGGCAUAGACCGUUUCCUUCAAGGGCAAGCUCCAGUAUGGGGGCACAGCACACCCUGCUCCAGAGGCACAGAGAGAGAACAUCCUACAUCAGCCACUCCUGCCCAGUAGUACGGAGGGGAGCAGAAGCUUCAGAGCCCACUCCUGCAGGGCUCAUGGUACAUGGUAAACCUAGCUGCAGCCCACCUCUGAAACAGCCACAGCACCUGCCAUGAGAGAAGGAACCCUGGAAUCUACAGACCAAUUUUCCAGGUCUCUCUUUCCCUUUGCUACUGUUCCCUUUCUAUGCCUUAAAAAUAACGCAGAUGGAGAAGGUGGACUCCAGAGUGUGAGUGGCACUCUGCACCCUGAGGG